rnacentral:lncRNA from 1 species
UAGGUACCAAGAUCUUUCAAAGAGUAAAAUGAAAUAAACGAAGUGGCAAAGGGCUUGGUGGUUGGUACCCGAGGUCUCAAGUUCGAAUCAUAAUUGAUUCACAUUUCCAGCUAAGUUUAUUUCUAAAUGAAAUAAACGAAGCAGAUAGCGUGCUAUCUAUCUCUCAAAAAGUCAUAAAUAUCUAAAUUGAUAAUAAAUUAUUUAAAAACUAAAUAAAAAUUUUAAAUUAUUUUCUCGUAAUAAAAUAAAUUAUUCUGCAGGUGAAGCGUGCUAUCUUACAAAGUAAAAAAUGCCAAGACCAUUGAGAGAGUGAAAAUCAAACUUUAUUAUUUUUUUUUUUUGAGAAAUAGGUAGCAUGCUAUCACUUGCGCCAGAAACAGUUGGUAAAUCAAACUCUUAUUCUAACAAAAAAAAAAAAAAUCAGGGUUAAUUUCAUACGCACCUUUCCUCCAACCUUAUUUAUCUGAAAGUGUCAAUAUAGAAAAUACCCCUCUAAUUUUCAGAAACAAUCAUAAAUAUCUAAAAUACCGACCGUUGCUAGCGCAAGUGGCAAAGGGCUUGGUGGUUGAUACUCGAGGUCCCGAGUUUGAAUACUAGUUGAUUCACAUUUCCAGCUAAGUUUAUUUCUAAAUGAAAUAAACGAAGCGGGUAACGUGCCACCUAUCUCUCAAAAAAUCAUAAAUAUCUAAAUUGAUAAUAAAUUAUUUAAAAACUAAAUAAAAUUUUUAUUUCGCCCAUCAUCUAUUGUUUAUACCUAUUUAAUUAACUUAAAUAUUAUUUU